GAUGAACGCUGGCGGCGUGCCUAAUACAUGCAAGUCGAGCGAACAGACGAGGAGCUUGCUCCUCUGACGUUAGCGGCGGACGGGUGAGUAACACGUGGAUAACCUACCUAUAAGACUGGGAUAACUUCGGGAAACCGGAGCUAAUACCGGAUAACAUGUUGAACCGCAUGGUUCAACAGUGAAAGACGGUCUUGCUGUCACUUAUAGAUGGAUCCGCGCCGCAUUAGCUAGUUGGUAAGGUAACGGCUUACCAAGGCAACGAUGCGUAGCCGACGUGAGAGGGUGAUCGGCCACACUGGAACGGAGACACGGUCCAGACUCCUACGGGAGGCAGCAGUAGGGAAUCUUCGGCAAUGGGCGAGAGCCUGACGGAGCAACGCCGCGUGAGUGAAGAAGGUCUUCGGAGCGGAAAACUCUGUUAUUAGGGAAGAACAAAUGUGUAAGUAACUAUGCACGUCGUGACGGUACCUAAUCAGAAAGCCACGGCUAACUACGUG
rnacentral:rRNA from 1 species